UGAGGUUGUCCUAAGUCAAACUUUGUCAACUUUGACCGAAUUUAUAAGAAAUACCAACAUAUGUAACGCCAAAUAAAUGCCAUAUGAAAAUAUACUUGAUAAUAGUCCUAAUGAUACUAGCUUGGUGUUGUAUAUGUAAUGUUUUCAUCUAGAAACUCGGUCAAAGUUGACAAUGUUUGAUUUAAGACAAACCUAA
rnacentral:pre_miRNA from 1 species